rnacentral:rRNA from 1 species
GACGAACGCUGGCGGCGUGCCUAAUACAUGCAAGUCGAGCGAAUCUUGAGGUGCUUGCACCUCUUGGUUAGCGGCGGACGGGUGAGUAACACGUGGGCAACCUGCCUGUAAGACUGGGAUAACACCGGGAAACCGGUGCUAAUACCGGAUAAUCCUUUCCUCUCAUGAGGAAAGACUGAAAGUACGGUUUCGGUCUGACACUUACAGAU